UACGUAGGGACCGAGCGUUGUCCGGAUUUAUUGGGCGUAAAGAGUUCGUAGGCGGCCCUGUAAGUCAGAAGUUAAAAUGUAAGGCUCAACCUUGCAUUGCUUUUGAUACUGCAGAGCUUGAGUAUGGCAGGGGAGAAGGGAAUUCCACGUGUAGCGGUGAAAUGCGCAGAUAUGUGGAGGAACACCAGUGGCGAAGGCGCUUCUCUGGGCCAUUACUGACGCUGAGGAACGAAAGCGUGGGGAGCGAACAGG
rnacentral:rRNA from 1 species